GGUGAGUAACACGUGAGUAACCUGCCCUUGACUCUGGGAUAAGCCUGGGAAACUGGGUCUAAUACCGGAUAGGAACGUCCACCGCAUGGUGGGUGUUGGAAAGAUUUAUCGGUCAUGGAUGGACUCGCGGCCUAUCAGCUUGUUGGUGGGGUAAUGGCCUACCAAGGCGACGACGGGUAGCCGGCCUGAGAGGGUGACCGGCCACACUGGGACUGAGACACGGCCCAGACUCCUACGGGAGGCAGCAGUGGGGAAUAUUGCACAAUGGGCGCAAGCCUGAUGCAGCGACGCCGCGUGAGGGAUGACGGCCUUCGGGUUGUAAACCUCUUUCGCCAGGGACGAAGCGCGAGUGACGGUACCUGGAUAAGAAGCACCGGCUAACUACGUGCCAGCAGCCGCGGUAAUACGUAGGGUGCGAGCGUUGUCCGGAAUUAUUGGGCGUAAAGAGCUCGUAGGCGGUUUGUCGCGUCGGCUGUGAAA
rnacentral:rRNA from 1 species